AGAAGCGAGAAAAAUUUUCCUCAUUUUUUACCUUUUUACUCCAUCUCCCUUCCUUAAUUUCAUUCAAUUUAGGUUUUUUCUUUUACUUCUCCUUCAAAAUUCCAUCAGCAUGCCAAUUAGAGCUUUCAAUGACUUGUCUGUCUUCCCACAAAAGAAAUUAAGGCUUCAAUUGGUUCUUAAUCCAAACAAUACCUUUGCGCUAACUGUAGAUUUCAAUUAUUGGUACUUUGAUACUGAUGCUCCAAAAGGAUGAACACGAGUUGACCUAUAUCAUGAUUGGCAAGACACUCCAUUAUUUAACAAACAAGUUCUUCGAAGAUGAUUUGUUAUUUGGCUACUAUAAGAUUAUAGUUUAUGAGCCUGUAUUUCUUAAUGUUUAUAUUUUUUUUAUUAAGCAGCAACAUAUU